CCUCUCCUCAUUGCAUCACUCUUCUUCCAUCACUCUCGCCUCCUGUUCUCUCUGCGUUGUCAUUUUUUGGAACGGUCUGUGCUGGUGCAGUUCUGGUGUUGCUGGUUCUGCUGGUGAAACAUUGUGUUCUUAAAAAACCAGAAGCUGAUCAAGAAGAAGCUGCACAAGGUGACAUCCUCCCUGCUGUCACAUGUGGCAGCAGACGGAGCAGAGACAGUGUUCCAGCUUCCCUCUACGCAACUGUGAGAAAAAAGGCAAAGACAAAAACAUCACAUCAAACUGAAGAUUCACCCACCUCCACCCAUUCCCCACCCAAGAGCUCCUGCCAAGCCUCCAGCUUAGUCUCCACCACCAGCAGCGUCUAGGUUCCCACCAAAUCAAUCUCUACUGGGAUUCC